CUGUCCUACGGGGGGCAGCAGUGGGGAAUAUUGGACAAUGGGGGGAACCCUGAUCCAGCGACGCCGCGUGAGUGAAGAAGUAUUUCGGUAUGUAAAGCUCUAUCAGCAGGGAAGAAAAUGACGGUACCUGACUAAGAAGCCCCGGCUAACUACGUGCCAGCAGCCGCGGUAAUACGUAGGGGGCAAGCGUUAUCCGGAUUUACUGGGUGUAAAGGGAGCGUAGACGGUGAGACAAGUCUGAAGUGAAAGCCCGGGGCUCAACCCCGGGACUGCUUUGGAAACUGCCUGAC
rnacentral:rRNA from 1 species